rnacentral:rRNA from 2 species
GGGGGGGGCUAUACUUGCAAGUCGAGCGGACAAAAGGGAGCUUGCUCCGGAUGUAGCGGCGGACGGGUGAGUAACACGUGGGUAACGGCUGUAAGACUGGGAUAACUCCGGGAAACCGGAGCUAAUACCGGAUAGUUCCUUGAACCGCAUGGUUCAAGGAUGAAAGACGGUUUCGGCUGUCACUUACAGAUGGACCCGCGGCGCAUUAGCUAGUUGGUGGGGUAAUGGCUCACCAAGGCGACGAUGCGUAGCCGACCUGAGAGGGUGAUCGGCCACACUGGGACUGAGACACGGCCCAGACUCCUACGGGAGGCAGCAGUAGGGAAUCUUCCGCAAUGGACGAAAGUCUGACGGAGCAACGCCGCGUGAGUGAUGAAGGUUUUCGGAUCGUAAAGCUCUGUUGUUAGGGAAGAACAAGUGCGAGAGUAACUGCUCGCACCUUGACGGUACCUAACCAGAAAGCCACGGCUAACUACGUGCCAGCAGCCGCGGUAAUACGUAGGUGGCAAGCGUUGUCCGGAAUUAUUGGGCGUAAAGGGCUCGCAGGCGGUUUCUUAAGUCUGAUGUGAAAGCCCCCGGCUCAACCGGGGAGGGUCAUUGGAAACUGGGAAACUUGAGUGCAGAAGAGGAGAGUGGAAUUCCACGUGUAGCGGUGAAAUGCGUAGAGAUGUGGAGGAACACCAGUGGCGAAGGCGACUCUCUGGUCUGUAACUGACGCUGAGGAGCGAAAGCGUGGGGAGCGAACAGGAUUAGAUACCCUGGUAGUCCACGCCGUAAACGAUGAGUGCUAAGUGUUAGGGGGUUUCCGCCCCUUAGUGCUGCAGCUAACGCAUUAAGCACUCCGCCUGGGGAGUACGGUCGCAAGACUGAAACUCAAAGGAAUUGACGGGGGCCCGCACAAGCGGUGGAGCAUGUGGUUUAAUUCGAAGCAACGCGAAGAACCUUACCAGGUCUUGACAUCCUCUGACAACCCUAGAGAUAGGGCUUUCCCUUCGGGGACAGAGUGACAGGUGGUGCA